CCUACGGGUGGCUGCAGUGGGGAAUAUUGGACAAUGGGCGAAAGCCUGAUCCAGCCAUGCCGCGUGUGUGAAGAAGGCCUUCGGGUUGUAAAGCACUUUCAGUGGGGAAGAAAGCCUUGGGGCUAAUACCCUCGAGGAAGGACAUCACCCACAGAAGAAGCACCGGCUAACUCCGUGCCAGCAGCCGCGGUAAUACGGAGGGUGCGAGCGUUAAUCGGAAUUACUGGGCGUAAAGCGCGCGUAGGCGGUCUGAUAAGCCGGUUGUGAAAGCCCCGGGCUCAACCUGGGAACGGCAUCCGGAACUGUCAGGCUAGAGUGCAGGAGAGGAAGGUAGAAUUCCCGGUGUAGCGGGGAAAUGCGUAGAGAUCGGGAGGAAUACCAGUGGCGAAGGCGGUCUUCUGGACUGACACUGACGCUGAGGUGCGAAAGCGUGGGUAGCAAACAGGAUUAGAUACCCGAGGAGUC
rnacentral:rRNA from 1 species